GACGAACGCUGGCGGCGUGCUUAACACAUGCAAGUCGAACGGUGAAAGCGGAGCUUGCUCCGCUGGAUCAGUGGCGAACGGGUGAGUAACACGUGGGCAACCUGCCCCUCACUUCGGGAUAACUCCGGGAAACCGGGGCUAAUACCGGAUAUGACCUCCUUGGGCAUCCUUGGAGGUGGAAAGUUUUUCGGUGAGGGAUGGGCCCGCGGCCUAUCAACUUGUUGGUGAGGUAGUGGCUCACCAAGGCGACGACGGGUAGCCGGCCUGAGAGGGCGACCGGCCACACUGGGACUGAGACACGGCCCAGACUCCUACGGGAGGCAGCAGUGGGGAAUAUUGCGCAAUGGGCGGAAGCCUGACGCAGCAACGCCGCGUGCGGGAUGACGGCCUUCGGGUUGUAAACCGCUUUCGGCAGGGAAGAAGCCGCAAGGUGACGGUACCACCAGAGGAAGCACCGGCUAACUCCGUGCCAGCCGCCGCCGAAA
rnacentral:rRNA from 1 species